UGCCAAUAUAGUUAUACAGUUAAGUGCUU
rnacentral:piRNA from 1 species